UUAUUUUUUGUUGUUUUUUUGGUUU
rnacentral:sRNA from 1 species